rnacentral:rRNA from 1 species
GACGAACGCUGGCGGCGUGCUUAACACAUGCAAGUCGAACGAGGGCUCAGAGCUUGCUCUGAUGACCCGAGUGGCGAACGGGUGAGUAACACGUGACUAACCUACCCCUCGGCGGGGGACAACCCGGUGAAAACUGGGCUAAUACCGCAUAUCGUCAUAGCAUCGCAUGGUGCAUUGAUUAAAGGGAGCCUCUUCUUGAAAGCUCUCACCGAGGGAGGGAGUCGCGUUGUAUCAGCUUGUUGGUGAGGUAAUGGCUCACCAAGGCUACGACGCAUAGCGGGUCUGAGAGGACGACCCGCCACAUUGGGACUGAGAUACGGCCCAG